rnacentral:lncRNA from 1 species
GUCAGCCAAAGAGGAGCAAAGAGUCAUCUACCUCAAUCAUGUUCAGGAAAUGAUCAGGUCAAGAUGUGGAGUGAGCAAGCUUUUCUCUUUUGUGCCACAUUUUCUGACCCAGUAUUUCAAGCUACCCAAGGUGCGAAAAAGAAAGAAGGCCGAAGGGAAGAAGGUGGUGCUCACCCUUGCUGUCUUGAAAAAGCAGGAGACCAUGAAAGUGGUGAAUCUUCCAUUUGAGAAAUUUGGCACUGGACAGGACAUUUUGGCAUUGGACAGAACAUCCAGCCCAAAAGGGACCUCACUUACUUUGUCAAAUGGCCCCAUUAUACUAGGUUGCAGCAGCAGAGAGCCAUCCUCUAUAAACAGCUAGAAGUGCCUUCUGUGAUUAAUCAGUUCACCAGGGCCUUGGACCACCAAACAGCUGCUCAAUGGGGUAAGCGGGCUGGCAAGUACAGACCAGAGACAAAGCAAGAGAAACAGCAGAGACUGUUGGCCUGGGCUGAGAAGAAAGCAAAGGAGACAUCCCCACUAAGAGAUCACCUGUCCUUUUAAUGGGGGUUAACGCUGUCACCACCUUAGUGGAGAAAAAGAAGGCUCAGCUGGUGGUGACUGCACAGGACAGAGAUCCCAUUGAGUUGGUUGUCUUCCUGCCUGCCCUGUGUUGUAAACUGGGGGUUCCUUACUGC